CUAGACAGGCGGGCCUCGAUCCCACAAAAUUCUAGUUAACAGCUAGAUACCCAAUCCUGCGGGCUUCCGUCUA
rnacentral:tRNA from 1 species